GCUGUCGUGGUGUAACGGUAGCAUGAGAGCCUGUGGAGCUCUUCGUCGGGGUUCAAAUCCCCGCGACAGCC
rnacentral:tRNA from 1 species